rnacentral:rRNA from 1 species
AUGCGCGGUACAUGCACGAGGGCGAACGCAUCGAGUUCGAUCAGGCGAUCUCGUUUCCGUGUCAUGUGGCUAGGGUUGGACAGCGCAUUCAGUCGCCGUGCGCGCCCCCGUUGCAUGCGGGGCUUGGUACACAGCGCGCGGAGGAGCGGCAUGCAGCGGCUGGAUGCGCGACAUCUGGCGCGGGGAGAGCUGCCGGAUCAGAUCCAUGGCCGCCCCACCGCCAUGCGGGGCCCAGCAAUGGCGUUGAGGUACUUAAUGGACACCGAGGGGGCGCGGGCACACCCAAUUCCCCACCUACCACCACUCCUACCAGAUCCGACUCGCAUCUCGCCUAUCUCUUCGGGCACCUGUGGGAGAGAUCUAGGGUUUCCUCCUCUUCCCCACCUCCGCCGCGUGAUUCCUUCGGCUGGUGGCGUGGCAAGGUCGGCGGCAACGACCGCUCCUUUGCGCAAGUCGCAGAGGGCUCGAAGAUCCGUCUCGAUCCGUCCAAGGCGAUGGGGGAUCAAGGCGGGGGGCGAUUUGGAGGGCGGCGCGACUUCGCUGGCCGUGGUGGGUUCGGGGGUGGACGCCGACCACCGCCACCCAACCAGACGCGCAACAUGGUGUGGCAGCGGCCAGAUCUAUCGUCGGGCGCGGGCGAUGGGAGGAGGGGCCAAGGAGUGGGAGACUCAGAAGAUGGCGGCCCCCAAGGAUGCGAAUCCUCCCCCUGCUGCUGAUUCGACCACAACUCCGGCCACCAAGAGCUCCGAGGAGCGAUGCCUCAACUGCAACAACUCAGGUCAUUUCACUCCGCGUUGCCCUACUAUUCGUUGCGAGAAAUGCAACAAGCUUGGUCAUAUGGCUCAGUUGUGCCAAUCACUCAGGCCGUGGGAGUGUGUUCCUAUGUUGUGCGGGUUUCAAUCACCCGGCCAGGGCUUCUUCUAUAUUCCUGAUUUGUGUGCUACUAAACAGAGUUCUGAGAAAACUAAUAUUGUAGUUAUCACGGUCAUAGAGGGGGCUGCUACUGUGAAAGAGAUAGGACAUGAAUUCAACUGCAUUUUUGCUCAUAAACCUGGCAAGAAAAAAUGGCGCUGUACUGCUCGUUCCAUUAGUCCAACUCAAUUUGUCAUGCGGUUCCCGAAUGCCAGUGAAGUAGAAAGAGCAUGUUGUUAUGGUAAACGUCUUCCUUUGAAGGAUGGUUCUAUCAUUGUGUGCAUUACUCCAUGGUCUGCAUCUGUGGGGGCUAAAGGGAGUAUGGAAAAAGCAUGGGUUCGUGUUAGAAAUGUUCCACUGGAAAAAAGAUGCCCAGAGCAUGUUGCAUAUGCUGGGGGGGCUGGUUGGUAUUACUUUGGAAGUGGAUGA